UGGCUCAGUUGGUAGAGCAUGGUGUUUGCAACGCCAGGGGUUGUGGGUUCGAUUCCCAC
rfam:Salmo salar isolate Sally breed double haploid chromosome ssa23, whole genome shotgun sequence.